UACGAAGGGGGCUAGCGUUGUUCGGAAUUACUGGGCGUAAAGCGCACGUAGGCGGCUUUGCAAGUUAGAGGUGAAAGCCCGGGGCUCAACCCCGGAAUUGCCUUUAAAACUGCAUCGCUAGAAUUGUGGAGAGGUAAGUGGAAUUCCGAGUGUAGAGGUGAAAUUCGUAGAUAUUCGGAAGAACACCAGUGGCGAAGGCGACUUACUGGACACAUAUUGACGCUGAGGUGCGAAAGCGUGGGGAGCAAACAGG
rnacentral:rRNA from 1 species